GCCCUUGUGGCUCAGUGGUAGAGCAUUGCACUUGUACUAUCGUGAUCUCGUACAGGAACAUGCAAAGGUCCGUCGUUCAAUCCGGCGCGGGGGCA